UGGGGGAUAUUGCACAAUGGGGGAAACCCUGAUGCAGCGACGCCGCGUGGAGGAAGAAGGUUUUCGGAUUGUAAACUCCUGUCGUACGGGACGAUAAUGACGGUACCGUACAAGAAAGCACCGGCUAACUACGUGCCAGCAGCCGCGGUAAAACGUAGGGUGCAAGCGUUGUCCGGAAUUACUGGGUGUAAAGGGAGCGCAGGCGGGAGAUCAAGUUGGAGGUGAAAACCACGGGCUCAACCCGUGACCUGCCUUCAAAACUGAUUUUCUUGAGUAGUGCAGAGGUAGGCGGAAUUCCCGGUGUAGCGGUGGAAUGCGUAGAUAUCGGGAGGAACACCAGUGGCGAAGGCGGCCUACUGGGCACCAACUGACGCUGAGGCUCGAAAGCAUGGGUAGCAAACAGGAUUAGAUACCCUGGUA
rnacentral:rRNA from 1 species